rnacentral:lncRNA from 1 species
AGUUAAGAAGCAGAUUGUAUAUUUAUAGCCUUUAGGGUCUCAAAAAUGAUACUAUGUAUCAUUAUUAGAAUAAUUAAGAAGAUAGUGUCUCAAAUUAUUUUCUGUGAGGUCUAAUUCUCUCAUUGCAUCUAAUUGAGAAUGGCUGAUUUAGAAAGUUCCUUCAUUUCCUUUUCCAUUCAUACCACCCCUAAAGAUCCCCCAAAUGAAAAUCACUCCAGCCUGGGCAAUGUAGUGAGCCCUCAGUCUCAAAAAAAAAGAGAAAAAGAAAUGGCAAGGAUGAUAACUACCAUGAUGGAAAAAUAGAAAAUUACAGGGGAAUAUUGGAGUUUAUAACAGGAAACUUACAUAGACUGGGGCUUGGGAAAAGCAUUACUGAGGUAGUGCCUCACCAGUGGCCUGAGCACCCAGCAGCCACUGCCACUGCCACUGCCCAGCUGGUACCUGGGGAGUUGGUGGUGAGGCCAGAGAUUGCGUUAGCAGAGAUGACAGGCCCAGCCUUACAGGGAUGCUUGAGCCAGCCAGUGUCCCGGCCCUGCACGGCCCCAGGCUGUUCAUGAAGCAUGUGACCAUCAGCAUGGACACUUAGAGAACAAAAGGACGAGACAGUAAAGUACACAAUGAUUCUUUGCAUCAGAAGG